UACGAGGGGUGCAAGCGUUGCUCGGAAUUAUUGGGCGUAAAGGGUAGGUAGGUGGUCUCAUUUGUCUGGGGUGAAAGCCUUGAGCUUAACUCAAGAAGUGCCCCAGAAACGGUGAGACUGGAGUCCUGGAGAGGUGAGUGGAAUUCCCGGUGUAGCGGUGAAAUGCGUAGAGAUCGGGAGGAACACCAGAGGCGAAGGCGGCUCACUGGACAGGUACUGACACUCAACUACGAAAGCGUGGGGAGCAAACAGG
rnacentral:rRNA from 1 species